CUAUGAUGUAACAGACUAGGCCCUUAUAUAACCGUCAAUCUAAUUCUAAGUCUUAAUAGUAAAGUGGUUGUAGAUACACCAAUUAUAAAACAUAUCUAAAGUGCAGUAUAACAUUGCACUCUACACAUUUCAUAAUAAAGGUCUCUUAUAUAUUAAAUCUAUAUAUUUUAUACAAUACUGGUCUCUUAACCACUAUGCAAAUAACAUGUAACUUUACACAAGGACUGUUAAACUAUAGUUAUGUACUUGAACACAGAUACAUGUUAAACCAUGCUCUCAAAACUAUAUUUAGAACCAACAAGACUUAAAGCCCAAUAUAGAAAACAGACACAAAAACCCCACAAUGUAUCUAAAGUGCUAAGUAACAUUGC